rnacentral:rRNA from 1 species
UACGUAGGGGGCAAGCGUUGUCCGGAUUUAUUGGGCGUAAAGAGCGUGUAGGCGGCCAUGUAGGUCCGUUGUGAAAACUCGAGGCUCAACCUCGAGACGCCGAUGGAAACCAUGUGGCUAGAGUCCGGAAGAGGAGAGUGGAAUUCCUGGUGUAGCGGUGAAAUGCGCAGAUAUCAGGAGGAACACCAAUUGCGAAGGCAGCUCGCUGGGACGUUACUGACGCUGAGACGCGAAAGCGUGGGGAGCAAACAGG